UACGUAGGGUGCAAGCGUUAAUCGGAAUUACUGGGCGUAAAGCGUGCGCAGGCGGUUGUGCAAGACCGAUGUGAAAUCCCCGGGCUUAACCUGGGAAUGGCAUUGGUGACUGCACGGCUAGAGUGUGUCAGAGGGGGGUAGAAUUCCACGUGUAGCAGUGAAAUGCGUAGAGAUGCGGAGGAACACCGAUGGCGAAGGCAGCCCCCUGGGCUAACACUGACGCCUCAGGCACGAAAGCGUGGGGAGCAAACAGG
rnacentral:rRNA from 1 species